CUUGAACCUUGGCCCCUCAGAUUAAAAGUCUGAUGCUUACCGACUGAGUU
rnacentral:tRNA from 1 species